UACGUAGGGCGCAAGCGUUGUCCGGAAUUAUUGGGCGUAAAGAGCUCGUAGGCGGUUUGUCGCGUCUGCUGUGAAAACCUGAGGCUCAACCUCGGGCUUGCAGUGGGUACGGGCAGACUAGAGUGCGGUAGGGGUGACUGGAAUUCCUGGUGUAGCGGUGGAAUGCGCAGAUAUCAGGAGGAACACCGGUGGCGAAGGCGGGUCUCUGGGCCGAUAUUGACGCUGAGGAGCGAAAGCGUGGGGAGCGAACAGG
rnacentral:rRNA from 1 species